AAAGCGUGCGCAGGCGGUUAUAUAAGACAGAUGUGAAAUCCCCGGGCUCAACCUGGGAACUGCAUUUGUGACUGUAUAGCUGGAGUACGGCAGAGGGGGAUGGAAUUCCGCGUGUAGCAGUGAAAUGCGUAGAUAUGCGGAGGAACACCGAUGGCGAAGGCAAUCCCCUGGGCCUGUACUGACGCUCAUGCACGAAAGCGUGGGGAGCAAACAGGAUUAGAUACCCUAGU
rnacentral:rRNA from 1 species